rnacentral:rRNA from 1 species
CGUAAACAAAGGGAAGCGAGACGGUGACGUUAAGCAAAUCCCAGAAAUAACGUCCCAGUUCGGAUUGUAGUCUGCAACCCGACUACAUGAAGCUGGAAUCGCUAGUAAUCGCGAAUCAGAAUGUCGCGGUGAAUACGUUCCCGGGUCUUGUACACACCGCCCGUCACACCAUGGGAGUCGGAAAUGCCCGAAGCCGGUGACCUAACCGCAAGGAAGGAGCCGUCGAAGGUGGAGCCGAUGACUGGGGUGAAGUCGUAACAAGGUACC